GUAGGUGGCAAGCGUUGUCCGGAAUUAUUGGGCGUAAAGCGCGCGCAGGCGGUCCUUUAAGUCUGAUGUGAAAGCCCACGGCUCAACCGUGGAGGGUCAUUGGAAACUGGGGGACUUGAGUACAGAAGAGGAAAGCGGAAUUCCAAGCGUAGCGGUGAAAUGCGUAGAGAUUUGGAGGAACACCAGUGGCGAAGGCGGCUUUCUGGUCUGUAACUGACGCUGAGGCGCGAAAGCGUGGGGAGCAAACAGGGAUUAGAUACCCUGGUAGUCCACGCCGUAAACGAUGAGUGCUAAGUGUUAGGGGGUUUCCCGCCCCUUAGUGCUGCAGCUAACGCAUUAAGCACUCCGCCUGGGGAGUACGGCCGCAAGGCUG
rnacentral:rRNA from 1 species